rnacentral:rRNA from 1 species
UUGAUCCUGCCGGACCCGACUGUUAUGAGAUUAGGGAUAAGUCACGCUUGUUAUAGGUGCGGAAUGGAGCACCUAGCAUACGGCUCAGUAACACGUAGUGAACCUAACCUAAGGAUGAGGACAAUCACGGGAAACUGUGCGUAAUCCUCAAUAGGAAAUUCGGCCUGGAACGGUGUCUUUCCCAAAACCGGACUAACCGAUAGUCACGGGCCUUAGGAUGGCGCUGCGGCCGAUUAGCUUGACGGCGGUGUAACGGACCACCGUGGCUCCGAUCGGUGUGGGCAAUGGAAGUUGGCGCCCAGAGUCGGCUACUGAGACAAGGAGCCGAGCCUUACGAGGCUUAGCGGUCGCGAAAACUCGCCAAUGCACGAAAGUGUGAGUGGGCUAAUCUCAGUGCCUUUCUUACGGAAGGCUGUCGCCUAGUAUUACAAGCUAGGAAAGGAAGAGGAGGGCAAGGCUGGUGCCAGCCGCCGCGGUAAAACCAGCUCCUCGAGUGGUCGGGACGAAUAUUGAGUCUAAAGCGCUCGUAGCCGGGCAAGUGGGUCUCUGGUUAAAGCUGACGACAUGAUCGUUGGACUGCUGGAGAUACCGCUAGCCUCGGAAGCGGGACAGGACAGAGGUAGUCCGAGGGCAGGGGUGAAAUCCAAUGAUCCUCUGGCGACCACCGAUGGCGAAGGCAUCUGUCUGGAACGCAUUCGACGGUGAGGGGCGAAAGCUAGGGGAGCGAUCCGGAUUAGAUACCCGGGUAGUCCUAGCUGUAAACAAUGCAGACUAGGUGUUGCAACAGCCAUGAGCAGUUGCAGUGCCACAGCGAAGGCGUUAAGUCUGCCACUUGGGGAGUACGGCUGCAAAGCUGAAACUUGAAGGAAUUGACGGGGGCGCACCACCAGGGGUGAAGCUUGCGGUUUAAUUGGAUUCAACGCCGG